rfam:Asian citrus Psyllid, Diaphorina citri - Florida Strain, whole genome shotgun sequence.
GCCUUAGUUAGCUUAGUUGGUAGUGCGUCUGCCUUGUAAGCGCUAGGCCGCGGGUUCGAUUCCCGCCCGGGGCG